rnacentral:rRNA from 1 species
AUUGAACGCUGGCGGCAGGCUUAACACAUGCAAGUCGAGCGGAGAGAGGUAGCUUGCUACCGAUCUUAGCGGCGGACGGGUGAGUAAUGCUUAGGAAUCUGCCUAUUAGUGGGGGACAACAUUUCGAAAGGAAUGCUAAUACCGCAUACGUCCUACGGGAGAAAGCAGGGGAUCUUCGGACCUUGCGCUAAUAGAUGAGCCUAAGUCGGAUUAGCUAGUUGGUGGGGUAAAGGCCUACCAAGGCGACGAUCUGUAGCGGGUCUGAGAGGAUGAUCCGCCACACUGGGACUGAGACACGGCCCAGACUCCUACGGGAGGCAGCAGUGGGGAAUAUUGGACAAUGGGCGGAAGCCUGAUCCAGCCAUGCCGCGUGUGUGAAGAAGGCCUUAUGGUUGUAAAGCACUUUAAGCGAGGAGGGGGCUACUUUGGUUAAUACCCAGAGGUAGUGGACGUUACUCGCAGAAUAAGCACCGGCUAACUCUGUGCCAGCCGCCGCGGUAAGAC